UAUAUAAUUUUUGAGAUACAGAAUCUCCACAUAGCUCAAGUUGGCUUUGAACUCACGAUUCGCCUGCCUCUGUCAUUUGAGCAUGGGAUCACUGCCGACGCUAUCACCCUCUGUGUGAUCCGUGUUUCAUCAUACUGUCUGUCCCAUCACAGCAGAACUCCCUCCCCACCUCCUAGUCUCCCCUCUGAUGGACAGCGUUUCUACUCACACAGUCAGCAACUUGGAGCUGUGCUCUUGCUGACUAGAGCUGUCCACUCACCUUCUUAUCCUUUGUCAAGAGCCAAAUUCUGCAGCCACUUUCCUCUCUAAUCUUGAUCCCUGCUACAGCCCAGCCUCUGCUUUAAAAAUAAAACUCGCGGCCAGCAGGUACAGCAGCCGAGAGCAGGCUCUGCCGUGGGCCCAGCCCCAUCUACCAAGCUGGUCUGGGCAGCUAUGGCAACACCUUCUGUUCAGGAGUCUCCUCACCGUGUAAGAAGAGUCUCAGCACAGGGAAACCCAAACUCCCCUCCCCACAGGACCACGCUCCUCUUCCUGGGCACAGACCUCCACCCAAUGCUGGGGGAAUCUGAGAGCUCUUCUGUUUACCAAAUUGGAGAAUUCUGGAAAAAAAUGUGCACCUCCCAUCGUGACUUAACUGUGGGCAAAAUCGAGCCAGGAAUCAGCUCUGGUAGAAUUUAGAAUUCUGUCUCCUAAAGAUCAAACUAAAAUGAAAAUUCCAGAAAGCCGGCAAAAGACCGAAAAAGAAAACUUAAUCUGGAAUACGCUUGGUCCUGAGAAGCUCUGUGUGCUAACUCACCUGCAUGCUGUGGGCAAGCGUUCUGUGAACUUGAGAGGAAGCAGUGUGCACGCCUUGCUUAGGGUCUGACCAACCAUCUGUCACCCAAGCUUGGCACGUUGUGCAGCCUUGAAUCUCUGCAUCUGUUGCUGGAGAGAGAAGCUUCUCGGAUUAAACCUGAGGGGGGCUUUUGUCUGUGGAUAUAAACAUGAACAGGACAGGUCAAUGUUACGUCAGUUCAGCUAAACAAUGUAUGCAGUUCCCCUCUGGGGCAUAGGUUUCUGACCAGGUUUCCAGGCAUGGACUCUCUCUUGUGGAGCAGGCUCUAAGUCCAACGAGAGAGCACUUGGCUACCUCCAUAAUAGGAGUGCCAGUAUUGCAAUCUUGCCCAGAAGGUUGAUCUUGUAGUUCAUCGUUUUCACAUCUAGAGAAGAGUUUUGAUGACGUUUCCCCUAGCAGCCUGCACAGCACUGUUUGGACAACAAAAUCUAGCUGGCCGGAAUGACAGCCUCAUUUUCAACGGCUGUAUAAGUGUUGUGUUUAUGGAUAUACAUUCUCUACUCAAAUGAUCUGUGAAUAAGCCAUUGAGUAAGCACAGUUGAAGAUAAUACUUCAAAGCACCCUUCGCUGUUUCCGUGGCUACAUUACCAGCUUCUGGCAAUGACAGAAAAGACAGUCUUAAUUGUGUGAGCAGCGUCCUUGGUGAAUUCAGCUAUUUCUCUUUGUUCCUUCUCCUCAUUCAUCCGUGAGGAGGAGUCCACAGGAGGAUUCUGACAUUCAGAGUACAACUGCAAGGUAGAGUGAGUCGGGGCGCUUAAAUCGCAUAAGGAAGUUAACCUUUCACCUCGAACUAUGUCCUAAGUUAAGAAUAAGUAGUGGCCGCAUUAAGCCACGCGUGAUGCUUUUAAAGAUUUGUUUUAUUAUUUACGUGUGUAUGUUGUCUGUCUGUGUGCACACACGGACAUGCAGUGCUCUCAGAAGCCAGAAGAGGGCAUCAGAUCCCCUGCUGCUAGGGCUCUAAGUAGUCAUGAGCUGCCUGUGACAUGAGAGCUAGGAAUCAAACUUGGGUCCCCUGGAGGAGCAGUGUACCUCUGAGCUAUCUCUCUAGUCCCUGAUGUGAGGCGUUAUUUAUAAAGUCAAGCUAAUGGCAAUUACCUUAAAUGAUAUUCGAUAUUUGGUUAAUAGCCAUGCUUUUUGACGUGAGUUCCUAGAAGCUGAACUGCAAAGUCAAAGGGUAUAUAUGUUUUUUAUGACUUUUAAAAAUUACAGGCCAGAUUUUAUUGAGGCAUUGAACAGUCUUUUUACUCUUACAUUCCUUACAUGAGGAGUCAUGUAAGGCAUUGAAGGUGGAUUACUUCUGGGUACCUUGAUGAGAGUCCUAUACUGAUGAAUGAUUCUGCUCACGGAGUUUGCAAAAGAAGAUGGCGCAUUUUAGGAAUGGAGACUUUAAAAAACCACAUGAGCUGUGUAGGCACUUUCAAGAAAUAAGGAUUAUAGAAAAGGGAGCAGCAAAUAGCACGUGUGUGCCUGGGCAGAACUUCAGAGUUGAAGGGCGUUGUGACAGGGACGCUCUGGUCCAGCCAGUCCGUCUGGGAUAUAACUCACACUGCGACGGGCCACUUGGACGGGCUGCACCUUAGAAUUCAUCUGUGGGUUCUCUCUGUAAAUCUCACUGCAUACAGCUGAGCCAGGCCAUUCUCAUCCUUCACAAACCACUGCCUUUCGUUUGAUAACUACAUUUGGUCCUUUAAGAGACACAGAUGUGAGAUGUGGAUGGGGUGCGGAUAAGACCACGAAACUUUUAAGAUUCCUCCCAACCCUCAGACUCCCGGAUAAGAGGCUCUGCAAGGAAGCGAGAGAGGUGGCCUGGUGCAUGCCUCUGCUCUGGGAGGGAUCACAGUGGCCUGCAAGCCACAUUGCAAUCAAUCCGCAGGGAGCUGGGCUCUCUGGAAGCUGAAGCAAAGUGUCUCUCCCCCUUUCGCUACAGUUCUUUCAUGUUAUGCCCUAACUAAAUCCAGAAUCCUUUUCAAUGAGGAAGGCAGAAGUGGAAUGUGUAGCUAAGCCUUGUGCCUGUUGGAUUAGCCAAGGGAAGAUGGGCUCUGGAAGCAGAGAGCUGUAACCCAAUGCGUUUUCUUUCCUUUUUCUUUAAAAAAAAUAUUCGGACUUUUCUGCUCUUCUGUGGUUCUAUGGUUAUCCUGCAGCUGUAAACCCAUCACCUUCACAGAGUUCUAGGUACGUGGUGGCGUCCAAUAGAUUCUUUUGAAAUCUAUUGUGUAUAUGUAUAUAUGUGUAUAAAUAGUAUAUUUGCACAUAAAGUAUAUUUACACACAUGCAUAUGUGUAUAUAAAUAUAUAAAUACACACACACACACACACACACACACACACACACACACCUGCAUAUCAACUGCUCCCCCAGAAGGCCAUCUGAGCGUAAACAAAGCAGUAGAGAUCACAGGGAGCCUAGAAACUGCCUGACAGUUAGAGGGUGAUCAAAUACAGUAAAAGCAAUAAAUCUUUUAUGGGGAAGUGCUAUUUCUCCUACCACCCUGGGAGGCCAAAGUUUAUUAACUACCUAUAUGUUAAAUGCAGCCUAGCUCGCCUUCCCCAUCUUCCUCAGCUCAGAAUGUAGGGUUCUAGUUUAUAUCGCCUUACGGUUUUGAGAAACCGAUCUCCGAAAAGAACAGGAAAGCACGCACCGGCACUAGCGUAGACCGUUCGCCUUCUGUUGGGAGUGUCCUUUGCUUUUCUGCCUGAGGUGCGUUUCCUGCCUCUGCAUCCACUUGUGGCGUGAGAAUGUCUGCCUAGAGUUGUAUUGGGUGACACGCUACACACUUGUCCUCCACUGGAUAUUUUGAGUAACGCAGCAAGACUGCUUUCAAUAAUGGAACCGUCCGACGGUGCUGUUUUGUAUUGUGUUCUUCAUGGGUGGUUGGCAAGGGGGGCUUGGUAGGCUAAAAGAACAGAGAGAGAGUAAAAUGUUCCCCCUUUUUAUUAGGGAAGAGUUUUAGUCACAAAAAAAAUAGCAUUGCUGCUUCUGCUGUUGAUGCCACUGGCAACUGUUCCUUCUCUGUGGCACAGCGCCAACAUGGCCCUUGGAGAGGUGGGAUCCAGUCAGCACAGCACUUUUCAAAACGUCUCCUUCCCCAAGGGUGAGCAGAAUUCUCUCAAAUGCUCCCUUCUCUCCCUAUCCUGAAACCUAUUGCUCUCCUGGUCCUUUCUUUGUACCAGAUCCCUUCUUUUUUGGCUCUUGUUAUGCAAGGUACUGGGGGAACGACUGGCCUGAUCAUAAUCUCAGCGAUCGCUGCACAAGGUGUCCAUAACUGGAAUUUCCUCAUUACUUUAAUGUCCUUCUAGUCACAGCUCCAUGGACCUAUUAUGUGUAAAUUAGAAACACAUUAUUCCACCGACAAAGCUUUUCUUUCAAACGCAUAGAAUUUUAUAACCUGUCACAAUCUAUUAAAUCCCGAAUUGUCUCUACUGAAACUGACUUUUUUCUGCACGAAGAUGUCAAAGGAUCUUAAUUUCAGCUAAUUCUGGCACCAAAAUGAGCUCCUCCACUUAAUAGCUGGCACUGGUCUCCACAGCAAAGUGCUUCCAGGGACAAUUGGAAAUUGCAAAAAUAAUAGUAUGUUUCUGUGGUUAGCGUCACCUCUGAAAUGCAGGGCGUUUGCCAGCUCAGGGCUGCUUUGUUCCCUCUUGAAAACUGAAUUUCCUGAAAGCCCUUACAUAUUAAGACAAUUUGACGUAAGGAGACAGGAAGACGGGAACAGAAGGCUGGGAGACAGAAUGCGCAAGACCUGCUCGGAGUUCCAGAAUUCCACAGGGCUCCUUGCAGAUAGGGAGACUUGGCAGACAGGGCUUUGGGGCCUCGUUCUAGUGUGCCCCUCUCUGCGGAGCUGGACACAUGUCUGACUAGUGCUUUUGGGCUUCGUGGUCAUGCCGCCAUCAACUGUCAUAUUCCAAGGAUGAGAUGUACUUGGGCGAGAAAGCCAUUGCUUCCUUCAAAGCCAGCUCAUGAAGCGGAAUGUAAGCUUAGUCCAGCGGUGGGAAUUCUCCCUUAGGCGUCUCCAUUUGAGGCUCUGGCUCUGACUUUGGGUGAUCAUGCCAAGGAAGCACCACUGAGCCAAUCGAGAAGCACUCUGUGGUAGAUGAAGACUUACAGUAAUAGUUACCACGUUAAAGGCUUUCUUUCUCCAGCCAUCUAAUCCUUUAAAAUGUCUGUGGGGUUAACUUAAUUGUUAUUUCUAUUUAUGGAGAGCUGAGACUAAAGAAGGAGAGGGAGCUAAGACUGGACCUCAGGUUACACUUGGCAUCUCCCUGAGAAAGAAGGGGAAAUAAACAUGGAGUCCCUCUAAAAGGGUCUCUCACACUUAAGUCCAUCAAAGAUUAACUUUGAAAAUUCAAACUGUGGGCAUGGUUAAGGUGAGUCUAUAAGUAAAUGUCUGUGGGUGCUGUUCAUUGACUUCAAGACUAAUACAGUUCAAAGCUUUGUUUUUUAAGUUCAAUAGGUCCUUGAGACAGAUGUCUCCAUUUCCUUUGACUGUUACUUAUGACUCUAAAGGUAGAACCCCCGUCCCCUGACCCUCACCCCCGAUGUCAGCUCUUCUCCUGGCCCAGCUGUAUGAAAACAGUUCUCCUGUUCUUCUGGCAGAUUCCUCGCGGUGCUGGAAGGCCAGCAGAAGUCCUGAGUGCUAGGGCUCAACUUCCAAGUUCCUGAAUCCCUCAGCUCCUCUUAGGGUUGGAGAAUUUGCAUUUUGGAACAAAUUCCCAAAUGAUGCUGGUGCCGCUGACUUGAGAAACCACCCAAAGGGUACUGAUAGAACAGGUGUGAGGUUCACCCUCACUACAGAUGGCAGCCAUUUCUUACUGGUCUGUGGCAAGGCAAGUUCAGAAACUGAAAAUACCUCCGUGGAGAUUUUAUAAUAUGACACCGUUGUGACAUCCAUAUAUAUGAUCCGCAGGUACCUGCCACAUGUGUCGGGAGGAGCUGUGGGAGCCCAGAUCUCAUUCUGUGACAGCCUGAAAACCACAAAACUCUAUUCAACCAAGACAGUCUGAGUACAGCCUUCUAAUCAUGAUCCCACAGUAAUGCAUUUUGGGGGAAUAUAAACCCACCAGUGAGAAGGGUUCAGUCUUUCUCAUGCAGUAGCAACGCCUGCGAAGGAAGAAGUGAUAGGUCCUAGGCCCCAGGUAAACACCCAGGGCUAUAGACAUAGACCUAGUGUGAUAUUAUAUAUCAAUGGGGUAGGUCAGCCCAGUGACCAAAGGGCUCAGGUUUCUAAGUGGUUGGAAGACUAGAAGAUGAACUAGAACCGUCAGAAUUUAGGAGGACUGAAGUUGUGUGAGGAUCAGACUGGGUUAGCAGAUGUCCUCCCAAAGGCCUGUAAACAACUCUCAUGUAUAGGCAUCCAGGGAGACAACAGGACAUCCAGGGAGACAACAGGAGAAGCUCUCUAUUGUCAGAGAACCACCUAAGUAAGCCACAGGUCUGAGUAAAAGACUUAGUAUCUAGGCCUGGAAACAUCAGGCUCAGUGGGCAAGCUAGAUCAAGAACCCUUCCAGGCCCCAUGCAGCGCACUCAAGAGGGUAAGGACCAGGAGAAGGGAAGACUUAAAACUAUCAUCUCCUACAAGAGAAAGGAAGGCUUAAAACUAUCCACUAGAUCUCAUUGCUUAAGCUGCCAUUUUGUUUUUAUCUUCUUAUACAUUUUAUUAAAAUUCCCAAGGAUCUCCUUGCUAAUUAUCAGGAGUCAGCUGUUCCCUGCUUUAUAUUACAAGAUCCUCUUGGGCUGGCUGAAAGGAAGCCCAUGUGGAUGGGCCUUUCCCAUGGUUUCAAGGCUUGAUGGAUGUGCCUCAAAUUUACUUUGCUAACUGUCUUUCCAAAUGGAUCUCCUGGUAGCGCUAGGAUUUUACUAGCUGUGAUUUAUUUUUUAAUAUUUCUCACUUCAAGCUCUGAUAAAUCCAGCAUUCUCGCUAAGCACUUGUACAAAUUAGAUUGCAGGCAGAGAAGUUUAGCAUUCUUACAUGUUCAAUACAUCAAGCACUGAACAAUGGCAGAGGUGCUGGGUACGAACAUGUCUGCUCCCUCCUUAAGUCGCUGCUCUGUAAAGCCUCCCUUGACCAGAGCCCUUCUGGGAGAGGUUCUUUGAGACAUACAGAUUCACCUCUACUGUUUCUGCUACCCACAGCCAAUACCACUCCAAAAAUGAUGAAUGGAAAAUUCCAUAAACAAAGACUCCAUACGUUUUAAAUUGUAUACCAUUCCCUGCAAUGUAAUGACAUCUCCCUCCCAGCCCCAACCAGGAGAUGAAUCAUUCCUUCACCUAAUGUAUCCACACUGUAUACAACAUCCACAGGGUAGCCAUUGCAGUCAACCAACACAUUGUCUGAAGUAUCACAGUAUCUGCUCCAAAGUAAACUUAAUCUACUUAGCAACAGGCCUAAGCAGAAGAUGGGCGUAGCUGUGCCAAGAAUAAAACAACUCUGAUUGCUUCCUUCAGGUAAAAGCCAUGCAGAAGCCUGCUUUGCCUGUGGUCCAGUAUGACGCUGGUCCAAUGGCGGCCCUUCUCCCCAGUCCACUGGUUCACUUUCAUCCUGAGACUAAGACCACAGUUCCCUUUAGGGCUGCAUGGUGGCUGCGGAUGGUAGUACGAGCUUUCGGCUUUCUUUUUAGAAACAGGAAGGAGAAAGAAGGGUAUGCCCUGCACGGGUGGGCUGAGAUCCAGGGUAUCUGAACCAAUCACUGUCCAAAGUAUGGUCAGGAGUGGCUCAGACCAAUAAGACUCACUGGAUUUGGAAGUGGACUCAGAGUAUGUUGUACUUGAAGGGAGAGAGGGACAAAUUCUGGGAAGGUGGACAUAGCGUUCAUGAUGCUGCCUUUCUUACAUCUCCUGUAACCUCUCUAAGCCUAUUUUCCCUAACAGACAACCUCUGACUCCGCCACUCUGGAGCUCUGUGCUGGCCUCAGUAAAUGCUCAUUACACCAGAUAAGGAGAAGGUAGGCCAAGGGAGGCACCCACUGCAUGUAGACGCUCUUUCCUUCCAGGAACUUGCUCCAAAUAGGUCCUUUCGCUUUCUGUAGGGUAUGUCUAGAAAAGAGCAACACAAAUCUUUGUUCAGCAAGAUCCCUCACGUGAUGAUCUACCAGGGUAUGAUGUAGCUGGAAAAAAAUAAAAAGGAAACAAUGUAAGCUAAUGUUUCGAAUCCAUGCGAAGAGUGUUUCUUGACUGGGGUUGCAUUUGGUGUUAGAAUGCAUACCAAGCUCGCACAGGGCUCUGGCUGGAAAAAAAAACAGCAAAGAAUACUCCUAAGUAGUGAUGUUCAUGUGUUUAUUACAUUAGUAUACUUAUAUACUUGGAGUGUAAUUAUUGCUAUAUUAAAACAAAAGGGGAAGCGAAGGACAUGAAGGGAGUGGAGGGGAAGUUACAGGAUACAGAGCAUGUGGGGGACUGUAAGGAGAAUUUGACCAGCUGGCAAGCCCUUGGCCUGGGUUUGGUGAUGGCCACUAAGACAUAAGAAACUGAAAUUUUCUAUAAAGGAAAGCCUCUGAUUUAUAAGCAACAAAAUUGUACUUGAACUCAAAUUAUUAUGACUUUGGAUUUUAUUUCCUGUUCCCCUUACUAAAAGCACUUGCAAAGGGGGGACGCCUUCAGUCGCUUAUUAAUCACUUUCUCACCUGUGCCCUCAGUGGGGAUGGUCUGGAAUCCUGCCAUGGUCUCACAUCGUUUCAAGUUUGGGGAAAGAUCCAGGAACCAGGCUUUAGGACUACGUGGGGAGUUUCAGAAGAUCUGGGGACAGAGUUUGUGAAGAGUGAGCCAGGGAUGUUCUCUUUCUGAGAAUGGUGAAGUCACUAACAACAAAGGAAGCCAGCAGUCUGGGCACAGCAUGCUCCAAGUGCCCUUGGGGCACAAGUGUUGCUGCUGUCCCAGGCUUCUCUCCCAUCUGCUCUCCUCCAGAACUCAAUGUAUUCUUUAGAUGGAACCUCCAGGGUCACCUGGUCUCCAUAAUGCUCUUCUGAAGAGGUCAUUGAAGUAGAGGUACUGUGAUCAUUCAAAGUCCUCCUCAUUCAGAGUCUAGACCAGAGGACAUGAAAGGGCUUCGAGGUUGACUCUGUGACUCUGUUGUUUGCUCCAUAGGUGGCUGGCAUGCUGUGGCUUGUGCGGGGUGCUCAGCACACCCGGCAUAUCCACACCUUGUGUCCCUGUGCUCUCAGCGCUCAGACUGGCACCACAGACAGAGCCACAAAAAUGGCACUCUGCAUUAUUAGCCAGGCUUGUCUGAGGUAACCCAGUAUGGCUGAACAAGCUGUUGACAUUUGUGUAAAUGCUUGGGAAAUCAUUCCGACCUGGUUGAAAUAGAGUCACUGUCUUGAUCGCUUAUCCAUUUAUUCUUACAUAGUUGGCCUGGCUUCUACCCAACAAUCUUCUCUCCGUUAAGAUCUCCCCAUGAUAUAAACCCGAGGCUUCCCAGCUCCUGUCCUAGUGCCAUGGUAGCCGUCUGUUUAAUUGAUCUGCAUCUUAGCCAUCCCAGGUGUCAACGUUUGAGUGACAACUACAAAUAAAGGGUAGCCUAUGUGAUUCCUGAGCAUGGAAGAAUGAGGAAGAAAUUUGGAACCAACUAGAAGGUCCAUGCUGUGCCGUCCUCGACAUGUGGGCCAGCCUCAGCCAGGCCUUUCUGUUGAGAGCUGGUGAGCAGGGUACAACUAUUUUUUAAAUCCAUUUUGGUAUUUGUGGCAUAAGCAAGAGGAGCAUUUUUCCAGAAAGACUCUCAGUUGGGCCAUCCAUCUCAGUCAGAAACAGGUCAGAAGGUCAUCCCAGCCAGUGUCUGACGAAAGUCCUGCAGCCACCACUAUUGGCUUUUUCAAUUGGGAUUUUUCCCUGGAGGUCGGGGGAGAAGGCUCUUGUGUCUCAGGGGCUCUGCCAGAAAGUGAACACCAUGGACAACCGGCAACAUCUGCUAUUAGAACCCACUUGGAAAAAACAACAGAAUUGCAUAUGUGGUGAACAAAGGGCGCAGAAGGAUGUGUUAUCACUAGUAAAGGUUGAAGGGGCUUUUGGAGCAAGAAAGCUAGGGUAGAAUGCUUGUUUUGUUUUUGUUUGUUUUUGUUUUUGUUGCUGAGUAACAACCAUCCCAAAUCUUAGUAGCCUAGAACAAUACCAGGCAUCCUUGUUUAUAGGUUAGGAGAUUCACUGGAUGUCCUGCCAGUGUGGGUGGCCAUGCUCACCAGAAUAUGGUUAGACCAUUGAUUCCCAAACCUCUAUCUCCAAAAAUAUUUACAUUACAAUUCAUAGCAGUAGCAAAAUUACAGCUAUGGAGUAGGAACACUCAACACGAGGAACUGCAUUAAAGGGUUGCAGCGGUAGAAAGGUUGAGAAUCAGUGGUCUAGACUUUCUCAUGAGGCCAGGGGCCCUGGCUGGAAUAGACUGAUCUAUAUUGGGACAGUGCAUAUCUGUUCCACAUGACUUCUCAUCCUCUAGCAGGCCAGACCAGGCUUCUGCACCCAGCAGCCCAAGAGUUCCAAGAGCAUGAGUCAUCUAUGAGUUACACGUGUUAUCUUGAGACCUGAUCACAGAACGAGGACGCUGUCAAGCAAGACGUCAGGCCAGCCAAGAGCUGAGCUGCAGAAAUGACGUUAGAGGCAACUCCUGGGAAGAAUGAAGAGUGGUUAGGCUACUCAGUGGCCUUGGAGAGACGACUCCCUCUGCACCACAAUCCCUUUUACUACUGAAGUAAAACUAACAGAAGCACGCUCCUCAACGCACAGAUUCUUUAAGUAUUUAGCAUGAUGCCAGGCACACUGUAAGCAUUAGCUUUCCAUUUGCUUGUUUUUAUGACCAGAACCAAGACUGUUGAUUGUCAUUACUAAGUUUGGUGAUGAUUGUGAUAAUGUUGAGGCUCUCUCUGCUGGGUGAUGAUUCUCCCGGGAUAUGAGCCUCCAAAUAAUCAGGACUUGCUGGCAACUCGGGUUGGCUCCCCAGCAGCUGCUGAUCAGAACAGGCUGGCUCUACUCCCUACCACCCCCCAGGCCAUUUGGUGAGGACCAUUCUCCUCGGGCUGCUUGCCUCUUCUCUGUGUGCCUAGAGUACCUCUCCAGGAAAACCUUGCAGUGAAGCUUUGUACUGUGAUUGCAGCUAACUCUGGCCAGCACAGCCUCCAGAAGCAAGGGGGCUGGCAUCCUUCACCGGAGAGCCAGAUUGAUAUUCCUUUCCACUGUCCUACCUGUGCCCAGGGCAGAACUCGCAACACAAGGACACAAUUCAGGGUUGCCAGAGUAGGUGGCAAGCGAUAAGAAAACUCCCCACACUUCUUCCUCUGCCGGGGACCAAGUGUUCAAACCAGCUGAUGACUUGAGUCUUAAGUAAACAGACAAUAGGCUGUUUUUAAAGUGGCUGUUUUGUUCUCGAUGAUGCUGGCCUCGGUGCCCAGGCAGCCUCUGCCCACGCCAAGGAGGGAAGGGCCGGCAGCUUGCUAACUUCAUAUCAUCUGCCGCCACGGCCUUCCCAUCUGCUCGGGGGACACGGCCGGACAAUUUUCCACAUAUAAUUGCAGUCCUUUGUAAUUUAGACUGCAACAGAAUCAACAGCUUGAUCAUGACCCCACAGCAGGGAUUUCAAGGACAACACUGCCAUUUUCUGCCCUGACUCAAAACCAAAGCUGGCCUUCCCUUGUGUGUGCCUCCCCCUGCCUGUCCAUCUCAGGGGGUUCUGUUUAUCUGUCUGCCGACCAUGUUUUCUGGCCCUUCACCGUUUCUCUUUGUCCUUUCCCUUUAUCGGGCACCAUAUUUCUGCCCUGCAAAUGCGCUGGUUGUAACCGGACACCUCCCAUAGAUUAUGUCGCCACAAUAGCCAUUGUCAGCUCUCCCUAGCUAAUUGUAGCCCCACCCCACCUCAUCUGGCUGGGGUUAAGAUGGAUGUUCAAUUUGCAUUAUUUAUGUCUUUUGCUCUGUGUUUCAGUGAUGUACUUUUGCAUAACAUAUGUAAAAUUCUGCUGACGUGGAGAAUUCAUCUGGCCCGAGAUGCUCAAAAGAGUUGGGGGCAGAAGGUGGGGGGACUCUGUAAAUUCAAAAGCCGUCAAACAGCUUUGUGCUCAUCUGGUUCUAAGAAAAAGGUGGUGGGGAGUGGAGGAAAAUGUGCUCCUGGAAUUGAAGUCUGUGUGUGUGUGUGUGUGUGUGUGUGUGUGUGUGUGUGUGUGUGUGUGUGUGUGUGUGUGUUAUUCUGGACAGCCUAGUGAGCUCUUUUGUUUAAAGAGCUUAGGUUCUAGUUGAGCUUCAGAAGGUCAAGGCAAGCGAUCCAGGUCUAUGUUAGGCGCAAACGCAAGCCUGUUGCUAUAAUUAACGAGCAUCUGUUUGUAGAGGAAGAAGCAGAGACUUCCUUAACAUUACACAGAGUCAGUAGCAGAGCUGGGGUUCAACCCGGUUGGCCUGACUUAAAAGCCCCAGAUGAAGGGACUAGACUACAGUCCUGGGGAUGAUUACUUACCUCGCGUGUGUGAGGCCCCAGUUUUCAUCUCUACCAGCACGACAAAUAAAUAAAAGGAUUUCGAAGGCAGUUUCUGAUCCAAGCAGUCUGAGCCACAGCCUCUUUGAACGGAUCCGUUUCUCAUCCUGCCCCUCCUGACUCUCAACAUUUCUGCAUCUCCUUAGCAUAGAAUCUCUUGUUGAAAAAAAAAAAAAAGAACAGUUUUAUUUUGGUCACCAUUCCGUCACUGCUUGACCACAUGGGGUGUGCCUCAGUCCCCAAACACCUCCUAGUCAAGUACAGGGAAACAUGUACAGCCCGUGCUAGGCUUGUCACCUUCUGUGAAAAUACAUGUGCGUGCUUGCUUAGACCCUGUGAGCACGCCUUUGUUCUGCUGAGGUGCGUGCGUCAGUAAUCCUGAGGCUUGUCCCCUGACUUCUAGAACUCAGGCUGCCCCAGGCAGAGGUUCUACGGCUCAGGCAGUGGGAUGAUGAUGUGCGUGCUUACUAUAGAAGGAUCCUCUGGACAUGAGACAUUGGAAGUAUUGCUCCAAACCAGAUCUCACACACUCCUUCUUCCUUUUGUCAGCCUGUGCGGAGGACUUGUGUACCCGUAUCUGCACUCCAGCAGGACCCUGCUCUCUUCACUGGUGGCACUCAUUGCUUUUAAUCUUGGCCACACCAAGCUUUGAUUCUGUUCCGUCCAUCUCAUUUCCAUCCAUUCUAUUGCUCAGCUCCACCACCCACUAGGCUAUUCGAUCUAUUAAGCAGUGGGUGAACCUAGGGUAUCGGGAGCUGUCUCUUGGCUAUCGGUGUGCAUUCACUCUUGUGUGGGGAUGACUCUGGCUUUCUUUCGUAGGACCUUGAAAGGAUGCGUGACUUGGGAUACAUCAAUUAGGUCAACUAGAGCAUCCUAUACCAUUUAAGAGUCAGGCACGCACCACCAGCAGUCAUCAGCUGAAGGGGGAAAAAGUGGAGGCUACUUUUACUGCAGAGAAAGAAGGAAGUUUCCAAGGGGACACAUCAGCCAUCAUCAUCGUCAUCAUCAUCACCAUCAUCAUCAUCAUCAUCAUCAUCAUUACCACUACCACCAUCAUUUUGUGUGUAUAUAUGUGUAUAUGUGUGCACAUGUUCAUCCUUGGUAUCUGAGGAGGUCAAGAGAGGGUGUUGGAUCUCCUAGAAUUGCAGUUACACAUAGUUAUGAGCUACCAUGUAAGUGCUAGGAAUUGAAACCAGCCUCUCUGGAAGAGCAAUGUGUUCUCUUAAGCACUGGGUCAUCUCUCUCGCCCUCCCAGCAGCCACCUUGUUACGAUAGAACCUGAGAAUGAGAACAUAUGAGCAGGAUGAAAUCCAAGAGGCAGAGAGACACCAGGUCAGGUCUUGGUGAGGUUGUCUGUAGUGUUCUCCAGUUCAAGCUGCCCCCGGAGCCCUGCCCCUCUCUGUGGCUGGGUUCCCUGUGCCCCCCCUUUUUUUUUGGCCUCUUUGAUUUGUGUCUCUCUUUCAGUGCAGUCCUGAAGCGAGCCUUGGGCUUCACAAACCCGGGCUCUUCCACCUUGCCACACUGACUUAGUGGUCUCAUCUUUGAACUCUCUCCCCCCUCAAGCUGAAGUGCCAAGAAGACAACAUUUCGUCUCCCAGUGAGAUGCUCUUCACAGAGGGUUCACGUGAUUCUCUGUAAGGGAACUAAUGUUUGUCUUGGGCAAAGUAUGCAUUUAGGACAACAGGUAUUCCUGAGAUGUGCCCUGUAGAGAGACUAAUGAGUAAGCCUGUCCCUGUGAGCGCAUCUGCUUCUGCAAAUGUCCUUAUAGUGUUGUGCAUUGAUUCCUUGGUCCCCAUCGUGCCAUGUUAGUAGGCGAUGGAGCCCUUAGGAAGUGGGACCUAGAGGAAGAAGGAAGGCAGGCCAUUGGAGAAGUCCCUGGAGGCAUGAAUGGGGAAUCCCAGGUCUUCCUUGUUUCCCCUUUGCUUCUGAGCUGCCAUAGGAAAGCAGCUUCCUCUUCCUCUGCUCCCAUAUGGAGGAGAAAGUGAGCAAGAGAUGACCUUUAAAGAUGGAAGGACUGAGGCUGGGAGGUCACAAGUUCUUAGCCAGCUUGGGGUGAAGAGUGAGUUUCAGGUCAGCCUGGGCUGCGUGGUGAGAUCCUACCUCAGUGAUAAACACACAAAACAAAAGAGAGCGGGGGAUGUCAGCACUGUAUCCAUCAGUCAUUUCACAGAGACCUUAUUUGAAUUCUGACUGAUUUGAAUAAAAACCUUCUUUCAUCCCAUUAGGAGGCAAAUAUCCAGUAAUUUCUACUUCUCGCUCGAUAUUAUCAUUAAGGUUCAGAAUGGGUUGCCAUUAAACAUCAGCGGUAGAAUUUUAAUACUGAUCAUUUAGGCUUAAUGAGUAAAAAUAUUAAUUUCAGGUUAUAUACAUAUUUUUGUAGCAGGCGAGUAAAAUGGAGUGUUCAAUAAAAGUUUUUAGGCAUAAAAAUACAUUCCGGAGGAUUGAAAUAAUAUGAGAAGAGUAGAAUAUAAAUUAUUCAUUUAUGGAAAUAAGGAAAUACUGUAAAAUUCUGAGAGUUUUUUUUCCUAUACACUUAAGAAAACCAGCAAGUAUGGGAACUGGGAAGACGUCUUGGUGGGCAAUGGGUCGAGGACCAGAAUUUGGAUGCACAGCGUCUGUGUAAACGCCAGAUGGGCACAGUGGCUCGCCUGCAGUUCUAACUGAGGUGAAGACCCUGGAGCAAACUGGCAGGGCAGAGUGCUGAAAUGGCAGCGUCCCGGCUCAAUCGGGAGGUACCGCCUUAAAGAAUACGGUGGAAAUGGAACAAGAAAGACUCGAAAUGUUGGCCUCAGGCCUCCACACACAUACAUGCUCACUAGCAUACACAUGUGUACUCUCACAUGUGUCAACAUACACGCACCACACACACAUGCAGAUACAUGCAAAAAAUAAAAAGCAUCAAAUUGAAUAGAUUCUGUGGCUACAUCUGAAGCAGCCACAAAAGGUUUUAAUGUCAGUACCCAAAACAUGGUACAAUAAAAUUAUGUCCAGAAUAGCUGUUACAACUCAUGAUUUAAAAAAAUGUAGAUUCUAAGCUGAAAUUAGGACAUCGUACAUGGUUUCAAAUCUUCCCGGGGCUACAGAAACACGUUUGGAAAUGCCUGCUGACUUUACCUCUGUCAAUACGUCUUCAUUUAAACACACUUUUCACCCUACAACUACCAGCAUAUAUGAUUCUGGUCACCUGUGACCCAGCCACAGUCUGAAAGCAUCAAUGGAAAAGUCUCUGAGCAGUUUAUAGGUUUCAGAUUGUAAACCCUCUGGAUCGCCUGGUGGGAUCUCACAGCACCCGCCUCCUGCCUAGAACGGGAAUCCUCUUUAUCCAGUGUUUCCACUCUCAUUAGCUACACAGUCGUCGUGAUUAUUAAUCAGACUGUAUUUGAGCAGUGCUGUAUUCAAGAAACCCCUGUUUAACAACCUCAGAGUUCAUGAGUCACGGUGGUGCAGAGAAAGUCUCAGGACAUCAAACAAAGAAGUAAGUGUCUGCUGCCCUGAGUCAGUGCUGCAGGGCACAUAGGAAAACAUAGUGGAGAGGAUUUGGUACUAUUGUGACUUUAGACUUCCAUGGGGAUCUUUGAAGGCGUCCUCUGCAAAUAAGAGGGGUGACUCUUCUCACCCACACUCUUCCAAAUGCAUUGCAUAAAACCAAAUUUAGAUAACUCCAAAGCCUCCAAUGGUUGCAGUGUGGUGCACUGAGAAAUAUGGGCUUCUAGGCAUCACUGGCUGCCAUUGUUGUUGAUCUGUUGAAAUCACUGAGUAGAUGCUGGGUUCAACUGCCACUGUGAGGACCUAGGAAAGCACCACUGGAGGCUCACACACUUCUGGUUACAAAGCUUAAUAAUGAUGGUCAGCUGACAUGCCUGGAGAUAGGGAGUGAAAUCCUUGCCAUGUUCUUGCAGAAACAAAUGUUCGGAAGAGCAUCGGAGGCAAGGCUUGAAUGUCAAGGGUACACACCGUUACAAACCUCUCACUCUGCUCUCGACACAGCACCUGGGCUUUCUGUGGCCCCAUGAGAAGUUGAAGAGGCUGUGCCACGAGGGGGUUAGAGGACGUGCCCUGUCAAACUCAAGGGUCACUCUGGGUCCCUUCACUUUCAAAUGCUCUGCAGAUUUUGUCUUCAGACUUCAGCUGGGAGAGAUUUACCAGCAGCAAUCUGACCAGCUCUGCCAGGCACAGUUAGCUAGAUUUUGGGAGGAAGCCUUAAAAGAUAACACUAAUAACACCCAUAUCCAUCACUGAGAAAAAACACAAAGUUACAAGCUGCUCCUCUGAGCUCUUGGGUACAAAGUCCCAUGCGUCUGCUGUUCUCUGCUGCGUAAACGGUGCUUCUGGGAAGCCCAGGUGGCUUGUUGAAGGCACAUUGUACUCUGUUAUGUAUUUCUACACACUUGCCAUUUUCAACCUAUAUUCCCGUCCACGUAUUCUUACACACUUUAGUUUGAUUCUUGCACAAAGUAGCGUCUUGAGAGGUGAGUCCUCUUUGGGCUACAAGCUGGAGUGUGAGCUCUUUCCACCCCUUCCCAAAUGCUGUGCUAGACCUGGCUCCUAAGGUGCUAUGCUGUCUGAAAGACAGCUGUUCUGUUUGCGUUUUGUGGUUAGCAAUCAGUAGCCCACCCUUUCCCCCGGUGAUUACCUAUGAUGUCUAGGAGGGACCUGGAGGAGCAUCAGUCCUCUCUGGCUUAUGGGUGGCUCUUCUAGUUUUAGUAACCAACUUCUUGGAACAAAUCAGUUUGCAGACAACUCAGCACCACCUUCAACUCCCUGACCUGGUGCACCUUCUGGGAGAACUCGUUGGCCACCACCAUCGCACCCAGAAGUUAGACUAAAAUGUGGCAGGAAGGAGUGUGUCCUUCAGUCACUACCUGGGAGUGAUGGGUAACCACACUUAACCACAGUCCCUGCAAAUGAAGGCAUACAAGGAACCAUCUGCACUGUGUGAAAACUCACCGUCUGUACAUGCCCAUUAAAAAGCAAAGCCUAGAUAUCUUGUCAAGCAUAUUUUUUCUGCCUAGUUCUUAGACCAUCAUAUCUUAAGGCUUUAAGGUCUCUGCUUACAAACAAAUGUACCGCUCUCUCCUGGUGACACGAACACAUGUGUGGUAGAUCUGAAAUUCAAAUUGUACUGGGUGUUUGUACCGUAUCUGACAGUCUUAUCCCCUAACGGCCAUUGCUGGUGAUUCACGAAGCAUUUUAUGGUUAUGACUUCUUCUGAUCAAAGGGAUUUCAAGAACUAACUACCUAGUAACGAUAGCAGCUCUGGACUGGGCAGCCUAUCAAAGACGCUCGAGAGGACCUCCCAGCAUCUCAGCAGUCAUAACACAGACAGAGGCCUACGUGUCUCUGCGGAAGGAGACCCUACUCGGUCACCAGAGAGAAGAGUCGGCCAGCAACAAAGCGAAAACUCAUCAAGGAACAACCCAUCUUCGAGGCUCAGGGGACACUGUGUGCUCAGUCUCUGUACUAGGUCACCCAGUACCAACCUUGAGGAACGCUGGCCAGAGGUUUUCCUCCCCAACCUCUGAGAGAGUGGAGACCGAGACCUUAGUUUGGCAUUUUGGAAACAAUAAUGUCAGCCAAGAGGUGCUAGUUAUUUUCCGUUUUCUUCCCCUUGUAUCUCAGCCAGGACUUUCACCUGGUUUCUCAUAAAGCAAGCUAAUAUUUAUAGGUGGGAAACGGUGCCGGGCACCUUGAUAAGCUCAAAGCAGCACUUAAAUAUGUGUGUGGACCACUUAAUCACAAGAUCUGGGAUAUAUAGACACGUCACAUACCAUCCCCCUCCUGCAUUUGGGGCCUCAAAACUUGAUCCAAGUCUGGGAGUUAAAAAGUCCCAUUUUGUGUAAUCAGGUUCUAGUUGAACAUGAUUGCUGAAUUAUUUUAAAUUGAAGACACAUGUCUGGGGGUUGAGCUCUCCAUAUUAUUUCAGGAUGGUGUCCAUUAGGUCUUAUCCACAGGGGCUAUCUUCAACUUUUGCCUCGUUCAAUGCAUUCUUCAGACAUCAGCAUUUGCAAAAUAGUGAAUCAUAUAUAACGGAAAACUGGAGGAAUGUGGUCCUUGUUAAAGGGUAAUUUUUUUUCUCCUGAAAUUAUCUUGAAUGCAUUAUUCAGACCCAAUUCUAGUCUCCCCUGCUGAGAGUCCCGGUACUUGUUGGAAAAGUUCUAGUUGGGGGGGGGGGGUGUUUUACAGACAGUAACAUUGCAUAAAUAAAUACGACCAUGCGGCCAUUGUGCAUGGGCCUUGUGCGAUGCUAUGUCUUCAAAGACUUUACAACUGAGUCAACAUUUGUGUGAACUUCUUCCCGGUCCCAAACACUUUAAAUGUGUCUUAAUUGCAGACCUAAAUUGCUGCCACGGCUUGUCGCCAAAUGUGUUUGUCCCUGAAUCAAGGUCCCGCCAGACUUCACCUUGUAAGGGUAAACUGCUUCAUCAGCAAGGCCACUGCCCUGAUUUGAAGGUCACUUGCUUCCCGUUGGGGGACAGUUAGGAUGAGGGGACCUGAAGGACUGAGCCAAGUGGGUGUCCAAGUACUCCAAAGAUGUCUUCCGUGCUGGGCGAUGGGGCAUCUGAUGGGGCGAUGCUCUUUGUAACGCACGGACCAGACAAUUUACACAACAUAGCUGGGUCAAUAACUUGUAGUGAACUUAAAGAGUGGGGAAGCCACAAUAUCUGUCUGUUUAGAUCAUCUGCAUCACCCCCAAAAGGAAACCUCACACUCACUUAUAAUCCCCUAACUCCCUUGAUAACCACCAAUCUGCUUUCUGUUUCUUGUUUCCCUUGUAGGGCAUUCCACAGAAGUGGAAUCACUCAGACUGUGGUCUGUUUUGUCUGGCUUUUUUCACUUAACAUAACCUUUUUUUUUAAUUUGUUCACUUUACAUCUCACUCACUGCCUGGUGUCAGCCACCCCUCACAACUCUUCCCCCAACCGCCUUCUAUGAGCAGGUGGAGGCCCCUGGGUAUCCCUGCCCCGCACCCCCUGGCAUAUCAAGUCUCUGUGUGGCUAGGCACAUUCUCUUCCACCAAGCCAGACAAGGCAGCCCAGCUAGAAGACCAUAUUCCAUGUACAGGCAACAGCUUUUAGGGUAGCCCCGAUCCAGUUGUUCCAGACCCACAUGAAGGCCAAGCUGAACAUCAUCUACAUGCGUGUGACGAGGCCUAGGUCUAGCCUGUGUAUGUUCUCCCUUUGGUUGGUGGUUCAGUCUCUGACAGCCUCAAUAGUCCAGGUUAGUUGAGUUGUCCUGUAGAGUUCCUACUCUCUUCUGGGCCCACAAUCCUUCCUCCUCUUCUUCCAUAAGAGUCUCCAUCCACUGUUUGACUUUGGGUGUCCGCAUCUGUCUGAGUCAGCUGCUAGGGUGGAGACUCUCAGGGGACAGCCACUUAGCAUAACCUUUUAAGAGUGGUCCACAUUCCAAAUGUCACCACUUUGUCUUCAUUGCUGGGCACCAGUUCAUUGAGUAAGAGUAAGACAUUUAGUUCACCUAGGCGUCCACUGACAAUCUAUCUGUGCUGCUCUUCCUUUGUCGAGACUGUGAAGGAUGCUGUGUGAACAUCUCUGUAGAAAGUAGGUCAACUUGAGGUAGGAUGUCUAUUGUCAUCCAACCAUAAUCCUUAAGCUACAUUUAAUUUGUUUAAAUUCAUUACUUAGGUUCUUCUUAAAGCUGCCUAUCGGGUAAGAACAUCCCAGAAUAAAGUGGUUCCAUGAAGAUCUCAAGAAACAACUUUUCAACCAGGGUGAGAGCAUUAGUGAUUCCAGGGCAUGACUGUUUAAAAACCGAGAGAAGGAAUCUUUGGGAGGAAGUCUCUAGACCAAGAAACCUUGAAGAGCCUCAGAGUCCCUUCUGUGGCCAUCACAGGCUGCACUUCCCAGCACUUAAACCCACCUGCACCCCACCAUGCAAAUACUCCUCUGGCAGGCGGGCACAUGCUGCCUGGUGCCCGGAAGUCCUGCUGACUUGAAUAACAGGAGGCUGCUCGGGGAGAAGCCAAGUUGGAAAUGGCAGGAGAGGUGACAGGGUCACAACACGGGAACAGAGUUGUCGGGCUUUGUUUAUUUCCAUUUUCCACAGCCUUGGCAGCCGAUAGGAGGAUUGGCAGCCCUGUCAUCAAGAAAUGAGCUUUCUACCUGUUGGGAUCCAGCAAGAUCACAAAAGGGCCUUACAUACGGCCCCAGUCAUCCGUGUAGGGCCAGGAAAAGGAAUCUCACAGCAUGAGAAAGCCCUCCGAGGGGACGGUGGUGGGAAACCAGCACAUGGAAAGAAGCAGGAUUCAGAUCUACACCAAAGCACAGCACCUCAUUGACUUUGCUGUGACCCCCACUAUGACCUUGAUUGGGUCACUGAUCUCUCUGGGUCUUGAUUUCCUUCUUAAAAAUCGAAGGAGAGGUUGUCAGGAUUCUUGCCUGAGUUUUUUUUUUCCCCACAUCCUCUAUUCUGUAUCUCUGAUGCCUUUUGAAAUUUUACUCUUCUGAAGCACACACUGAGAUUUUAAAGCAGCAUCAUUGACUUCAAGCAAUCAGCCCACGGAUACCAAGGGACGCAGUCUGGAACAGCGACUGGUGAAUAAUUAGCAUUUGGGAGACAUCUUUUUUUUAAUGCCACCCCGUGUCCCAGUGGCAAGCAUUUUGCAGAUGGAAAAUUUUUGUUGUCGCUUUUUCUACCCAUCCGCUUGCAGGUUGUUUAGCCCCUUAGUGUCAGAGGUGGGAAUUGGACCUGCAUUUUAGGGCUUUCAGACCUUUAUUGUGUCAAUUAAUACGAAUUGCCUGAGAACAGAGAAAAUAAUCGCUGGAGAGUGGUGUGACUCAGGUACUGCCAGGAAGUCUGACUCAUUGGCCAAAUGUGACAUCUUGUUUCUUCCUGGUUUUAUCAUCUGGCUUGGGCUCUUCAGGGACCAUGCGAACACACUGGAGGAAGACGAGGAUGGGCAGUCUUAGCAGGAUGAUGACGAGACUGCUGAUCUUCUCUCGAGAAUAAAGAGUGUUCUGGAUGAGAAGACUGACAAGACAUCCCCCCUUCGCCUUUGAGGCCUAUGUCCUCUCUCUCCCAUGGAGCCAUGAGGCAGCUCCCUUCCAGCUCACAGAAACACAGGCCAACUCUUGAGAGCUUAACGUGUUUCCAUUACAAUGGUGAGGUGCAUCUCUACCCAGCAGUCUACUUCGUGUGGUAAGAGGCAGCUGUAGAGUUCACGAGCAUGCCUACUCCUUUGAACUGCACGCAGAGCACUCCAGAGCCCUGGUAUUCUGCCCGUAUUCCAAAGUCAGUGACUAGCCUCGUAGUUGAAAGAAAUCAGGGGACAGAUGGUAGGAAAGCAGAAUUGUAGAAUGACUACCUUCUCCCAAAUGCUGGCCUAUUGUUCUGAUGAAUCUCCGCAAAGCGCCAUGGAGCAGGCGCUGGGCUUGGUGGAGGUCCACAACUGAACCGCCGAUGCUCAAACAUCAGGGCUGGUGGAGGGGAGGCAGUUAAGAGAAAAGAUCACUGGCAUUUUGGGGUCCCUCCCUGACAGUUAGAACCACACAUCUUUGAAGACACAGAAAAACAACAACAACAACCCAGUAAGGCACAUUUCCACGGACACACCAAUCUGCUAUUGAAAGAAAAUCCUGUAUCAGAGAGAAUUAAUUCCCCCUUUGGAUAGGCAGCCUGAUAUUUAAUAAAACAAUAAAAAGUAA
rnacentral:sRNA from 1 species